rnacentral:rRNA from 1 species
UGGGGAAUAUUGCACAAUGGGCGCAAGCCUGAUGCAGCCAUGCCGCGUGUGUGAAGAAGGCCUUCGGGUUGUAAAGCACUUUCAGCGAGGAGGAAGGUGGUGAACUUAAUACGUUCAUCAAUUGACGUUACUCGCAGAAGAAGCACCGGCUAACUCCGUGCCAGCAGCCGCGGUAAUACGGAGGGUGCAAGCGUUAAUCGGAAUUACUGGGCGUAAAGCGCACGCAGGCGGUUUGUUAAGUCAGAUGUGAAAUCCCCGGGCUCAACCUGGGAACUGCAUUUGAAACUGGCAAGCUAGAGUCUCGUAGAGGGGGGUAGAAUUCCAGGUGUAGCGGUGAAAUGCGUAGAGAUCUGGAGGAAUACCGGUGGCGAAGGCGGCCCCCUGGACGAAGACUGACGCUCAGGUGCGAAAAGCGUGGGGAGCAAAACAGGAUUAGAUACCCUGGUAGUCCACGCUGUAAAACGAUGUCGAUUUUGGAGGUUGUGCCCUUGAGGCGUGGCUUCCGGAGCUAACGCGUUAAAUCGACCGCCUGGGGAGUACGGCCGC